GUAGGUGGCAAGCGUUGUCCGGAAUUAUUGGGGCGUAAAGCGCGCGCAGGCGGUUCUUUAAGUCUGAUGUGAAAGCCCACGGGCUCAACUGUGGAGGGUCAUUGGAAACUGGAGAACUUGAGUACAGAAGAGGAAAGCGGAAUUCCACGUGUAGCGGUGAAAUGCGUAGAGAUGUGGAGGAACACCAGUGGCGAAGGCGGCUUUCUGGUCUGUAACUGACGCUGAGGCGCGAAAGCGUGGGGAGCAAACAGGAUUAGAUACCCUGGUAGUCCACGCCGUAAACGAUGAGUGCUAAGUGUUAGGGGGUUUCCGCCCCUUAGUGCUGCAGCUAACGCAUUAAGCACUCCGCCUGGGGAGUACGGCCGCAAGGCUG
rnacentral:rRNA from 1 species